GAUGAACGCUGGCGGCGUGCCUAAUACAUGCAAGUCGAGCGAACUGAUUAGAAGCUUGCUUCUAUGACGUUAGCGGCGGACGGGUGAGUAACACGUGGGCAACCUGCCUGUAAGACUGGGAUAACUUCGGGAAACCGAAGCUAAUACCGGAUAGGAUCCUCUCCUUCAUGGGAGAUGAUUGAAAGAUGGUUUCGGCUAUCACUUACAGAUGGGCCCGCGGUGCAUUAGCUAGUUGGUGAGGUAACGGCUCACCAAGGCAACGAUGCAUAGCCGACCUGAGAGGGUGAUCGGCCACACUGGGACUGAGACACGGCCCAGACUCCUACGGGAGGAAGCAGUAGGGAAUCUUCCGCAAUGGACGAAAGUCUGACGGAGCAACGCCGCGUGAGUGAUGAAGGCUUUCGGGUCGUAAAACUCUGUUGUUAGGGAAGAACAAGUACAAGAGUAACUGCUUGUACCUUGACGGUACCUAACCAGAAAGCCACGGCUAACUACGUGCCAGCAGCCGCCGUAAAAC
rnacentral:rRNA from 1 species